AGGGAGACGCAGCGGCAAGAAGCUGCUGCUGGGGGUCAGGCUUGUAGCUUUUAGUCUUCUAAACACUGAUGGAAAUUCAUUGUUUGGCUGCUGUUUCACGCUGUUAGUUGCGAGUUUGCAUUGAACCGUGAAUAAAACAAAGCAGUGUGUGCAAACGGGCUCAUCCCGCGAAGGAGAAACAUAGCAGUCACCGGAUUAAGAGUUUCCAGCAAAAUAUUUGAAAUCGUGCCUGUUGUGCUUCCCUUCAAUAGUUCGUGUAUUGGGAGCUGGAUAUUGAACCGUGCAAUUAUCUGAUGUGCCAAGACAAUGUCACGUUUCCGUGGUGCAACACCAAGUGUGACUAGCUGCUCCUACUAACAGCAGGCAAAUACAUGAAGGACCAAGACAGUGUAUCAUUUCCUUGGUGCAAAGCCAAGUGUGAGCAGCUGCUUCUCACAAACAGCAGGUAUGUUACCGCUGUCAGAAUGGAUCAUUUCCACAGGCGUAGAGCAGUUUGAGUCAGAGACACGGUGAUCUCAAUUUCCAGAGAAAUGCAUUCAAGCCAACAGUCAAAUACAAGCAACAAAAUACAAGUAGUUUGUUUUCUCUCUUCCCAAUGCACCCCUCCUCGGUUGCUAUAAUUUUCUUCAUUCAUAGCCUACUGAUAUUUACAACAUUUUUGAAAAGUCACAGACUGAAUCUUCAUCUGAGACGGACACCGAGGAACUGCACUAAAUCUGCAUUUAGUAAGCAUGUUUUUCAAGUUACUGUCAAGGUGAAGAAAUAGUUCAUGCAGUUACAUAGUUACUUCGCACAGUGUGAGUACAGAUAUGGAAGAAAACAUUCACGUUAUCAGUAACUGAGCAGGACGGUGUCUAUGUUUUGACAAAUUGAUGUCCCAUGCAUAGAGAGAAGAAUUAAAUAAUGUGACUUCCAAAUGUGUGACAUAAAAUGGUUACUGAGAGCACAUAACAUAAACUGCACAUGCGCGCGCGCACACACGCACCGACUUACUGAGUGAUUUACAAUGUAUUCCAAAUACAUACAUGCACCGUUCCAACACACAUUCCUCAACAUCUAAUAGCCAUGAAGACCAUGUACACUUCAAGCCUCAGCACAUGUAACACUAAAAAUGAUUUCUACUCUCAGAUUUCAGGUCAGAGAGCUAGCCUUCUAUGAAAGAGACAAACAGAACAAAAAGUGAGCUCAGUUCUCCAAUCUCCAUGCACUCCCUGUAGGAUUUAACUACAUGGUAAUGGCCAUGGUCAUAAAUUAAGUAUCAAUUGUUUGCGACAUCAUCAAAAAAAAUUGUGUGAAUUUUUUGACAUACUGAAUUCCCAUGAAGUAGUCCAAGUAGUAGAUUGAACAAGAGAUUCAUUGUACCUCCAAAUAUCGAACGGUGUCUUAGACUGAGAGAGGUAACUAAAGUUUUUUUUUCCUUUUGUACAAACUGGAGGAAUUGCAUAUCAGGACAAGUGACAGAUUGAAACCUAUAUUGCCAUUGAAUUUGUUUACCCCACAAACUGAAUAGCAGAACCCACUGCCGAAUAUAAAGUUUUAAAUCUACCUGAAGGAAAUUAAAUAUUGACCUGAAAACAGGCAGAAAAUAA